rnacentral:rRNA from 1 species
UACAGAGGGGGCAAGCGUUGUUCGGAAUUACUGGGCGUAAAGGGCGCGUAGGCGGCCUGUUAAGUCGAACGUGAAAUCCCCGGGCUCAACCCGGGAACUGCGUCCGAAACUGGCGGGCUCGAAUUCGGGAGAGGGAUGCGGAAUUCCAGGUGUAGCGGUGAAAUGCGUAGAUAUCUGGAGGAACAUCGGUGGCGAAGGCGGCAUCCUGGACCGAUAUUGACGCUGAGGCGCGAAAGCCAGGGGAGCAAACGGG